rnacentral:rRNA from 1 species
GUUAAAAAGCUCGUAGUCGGAUUUUGGCUGAGAACGGUCGGUCCGCCGUUAGGUGUGCACUGACUGGUCUCAGCUUCCUGGUGAGGAGGUGUGCUUCAUCGCCACUUAGUCACCGUGGUUACUUUGAAAAAAUUAGAGUGUUCAAAGCGGGCUUACGCUUGAAUAUAUUAGCAUGGAAUAACACCAUAGGACUCCUGUCCUAUUUCGUUGGUCUCGGGACGGGAGUAAUGAUUAAGAGGAACAGUUGGGGGCACUCGUAUUUCAUUGUCAGAGGUGAAAUUCUUGGAUUUAUGAAAGACGAACUUCUGCGAAAGCAUUUGCCAAGGAUGUUUUCAUUGAUCAAGAACGAAAGUUGGGGGCUCGAAGAUGAUUAGAUACCAUCCUAGUCUCAACCAUAAACGAUGCCGACUAGGGAUUGGCGGAUGUUAAUUGAUGACUUCGCCAGCACCUUAUGAGAAAUCAAAGUUUUUGGGUUCCGGGGGGAAUAUGGUCGCAAGGCUGAAACUUAAAGGAAUUGA